UAUAAAGCCAAAUUGCACCCCAACCACCUUGGACACAUGUUCUCAGGACCUACUAAGGGCUGUGUCAUGGGCCAUGGUCCUUCAUAUUUGACUCAGAAUAAAUCUCUUAAAAUAUUUUACCAAGUUUCACUCUUUUUGUCAACAGCUUUAAGGCUGAAAAAUAUUCUGUUGUUUGUAUGUUUCAUGCGCGUCCGUGUAAAGAGACCACCAAACAGGCUUUGUGUGAGCAACAUGGCUGUUUAUUUCACCUGGGUGCAGGUAGGCUGAGUCCGAAAACAGAGUCAGCAAAGGGAGAUAAGGGUGGGGCCGUUUUAUAGGAUUUGGGUAGGUAAAGGAAAAUUACAGUCAAAGGGGGUUUGUUCUCUGGAGGGCAGGAGUGGAGGUUGCAAGGUGCUCAGUGGGGGUGAUUUUUGAGCCAGGAUGAGCCAGGAAAAGGACUUUCACAAGGUAAUGUCAUCACUUAAGGCAAGGACCGGCCAUUUACACUUCUUUUGUGGUGGAAUGUCAUCAGUUAAGGUGGGGCAGGGCAUAUUCACUUCUUUUGUGAUUCUUCAGUUACUUCAGGCCAUCUGGGCAUAUAUGUGCAAGUCACAGGGGAUGCGAUGGCUUGGCUUGGGCUCAGAGGCCUGACAUUCCUGCCUUCUUAUAUUAAUAAGAAAAACAAAACAAAAUAGUGUUGAAGUGUUGGGGCGGCGAAAAUUUUUGGGGGGUGGUAUCGAGAGAGAGAAUGGUCGAUGUUUCUCAGGGCUGCUUCAAGCGGGAUUAGGGGCGGCGUGGGACCCUAGAGUGGGAGAGAUUAAGCUGAAGGGAGGUCUUGCGGUAAGGGGUGAUAUUGUGGGGAUGUUAGAAGAAACAUUUGUUGUAUAGAAUGAUUGGUGAUGGCCUGGAUACGGUUUUGUAUGAAUUGAAAAACUAAAUGGAAUAACAGAAGGAGAAAAACAGGUAUAAAAGGUCUAAGAAUUGGGACCACUUAGGAUAUCUGAUUAGAGAGUGCUUAAGGAGAUUCGGCAUAGUCCUGCCAGCAAAGAUCAAAGAGAGGCUGGGACGAGGGGUGCAGGGGAAUAGUGGAAAAAGGCAUCUUUAAGAUCAAGCACGGAAUAGUGAGUUGUGGAGGAGGGUAUUGAGGACAAAAGAGUGUACGGGUUGGGCACCACAGGGUGGAUAGGCAAAACAAUUUGGUUGAUAAGGCGCAGAUCCUGAACUAACUUGUAAGGCUUGUCUGGUUUUAAGACAGGUGAAAUGGGGGAAUUGUAAGGAGAGUUUAUAGGCUUUAAAAGGCAAUUUUGUAGCAGGCGAGUGAUAACAGGCUUUAAUCUUUUUAAAGCGUGCUGCUGGAUGGGAUAUUGGCGUUGAGUGGGGUAAGGGUGAUUAGUGGGCUUACCUUCCACUGUGAGAGUUACCUGAAGCUUGGCGUCCGUGAUGGUCUAGGGGGCUUCCGAGGCGAUCAGGCAGCAUCAGUCUUCAGCCACUAAGCCAAGAAGAUCUGGGAAGGAGUCAGUCAGAGAGCCUCGGGCCAGAGUUCCAGGGGCUCUGGCAGUGGCUGUCAGGUGAGCUGAACAGUCCGAUUUCCAGUGGGGUCCCGCACAGAUGGGACACGGCUUAGGAGGAAUCCUGGGCUGCAGGCAUUCCUUGGCCUGGUGGUCAGAUUUCUGGCACUUGUAGCAAGCUCCUGGGGGAGGAGGUUCUGAAGGAACACCUGGCCUCUGCGGUUCAGGCGUUUGGAAGUUCUUGUAUGCUAGAGAUGUGGCUAGGGUUUGUCUCACAGUGGAGGCGAGGAAUUGCAACUUUUUUUUUUAUUAUUGUACACCUUGAAGGAGAGGUUAAUUAAGUCCUGUUGUGGGGUUUGAAGGCCAGAUUCUAAUUUUUGGAGUUUUAUUUAAUGUCCGGGGCAGAUUGGGUAAUAAAAUGUAUAUUGAGAAUAAGACGGCCUUUUGACAUUUUACCGUCUAGGGCUGUAAAGCAUCUCAGGGUUGCUGCCGAACGAGCCAUGAACUGGGCUGGGUUUUUAUAUUUGAUAAAAAAGAGCCUAAAUGCUUCUGAUUUGGGAUAAAGAAAAAGGAGCAUUAACCUUGACUAUGCCUUUGGCUCCAGCCACCUUUUUAAGAGUAAAUUGUGGGCAGGUGGGGGAGGGCUAGUCAGAGAAUGAAACUGUAAGCCGGACCAGGUGUGAGGAGGGGAGGCGAUAAAAAGAUUACAGGGUGGAGGAGCAGAGGCUGAGGAAGAAUUGGGACCUAGCUUGGCCUGGCAAGGAGGGGAGAGGUCAGAUGGGUCUGUAGAAAAGGAAGAUUAGAAAGACUCAGCUACGCUUGGGGUUGGGACUGAGGGGACAGGUGGGAGGGAAAGAAGGAAGAUUUGGGACGAGUUGCACUGGGCACAGAGACUAGGAAGGGACUGAUGUGUAAAAGAAUGCCUGGACAUCAGGCACCUCAGACCAUUUGUCAAUUUUAGGACAAGAAUUAUUUAGAUCUUGUAGGAUGGAAAAAUUGAAAGUGCCAUUUUCCGGCUAUUUGGAACUACUGUCGAGUUUGUAUUGGGGUCAAGCGGCAUUGCAGAAGAAAAUAAGAUGCUUAGAUUUUAGGUCAGAUGAGAGUUGAAGAGGUUUUAAGUUCUUAAGAAUAUAGGCUAAGGGAGAAGAAGGAGGAAUGGAAGGUGGAAGCUUGCCCAUAGUAAAGGAGGCAAGCCCAGAGAAAAGAGCAGAGACACGGAGAAGGGGUGGGGGGUUCUUGCCCUCCAGAAAAGCAGAGAAAGGGUUGGGGCAUGGAAAUAAGGAAUUGGGGCACAGAGAUAAGAGGGUGGGGCACAGAAAUAAGGGAUUGGGUGUUCUUGCCCCCUAGAAAAGCGGGACUUGCCGCUAAGGGUGAAGGAGAAGGGGUUGAGGGGUACUAAGGGUGAAGGACCAAGGCAGGUGUCCCUGCUUGGUCUGACACCUUUGAAAUGUGUGUGAAUAAUCAGAGAGGUGUCCCUGCAAGGAUUAAAUACCAAGGGAAGGCUGCCUUCCCAGUCCGUGACCGCCGCCGGAGUUUUGGGUCCACGGAUAAAACGUGUCUCCUUUGUCUCUACCAGAAAAUGAAAGGAAUUGAAAUUAAGAGAAGGGAGUGAUUGAAGUGUGGCGCCAAGAUUGAAAGGAGAAAGAGGUUGAAGGAUAGUGAGGGAAGCUGGAGAAGAGAGUAAAAAGAGGCCGCUUACCGGAUUUGAAAUUGGUGAGAUGUUUCUUGGGCUGGUCGGUCUGAGGACCUGAGGUCGUAGGUGGAUCUUUCUCACAGAGCAAAGAGCAGGAGGACAGGGGAUUGAUCUCCUAAGGGAGGUCCCCCGAUCUGAGUCACGACACCAAAUUUCAUGCGCGUCCCUGUGAAGAGACCACCAAACAGGCUUUGUGUGAGCAACAAGGCUGUUUAUUUCACCUGGGUGCAGGCGGGCUGAGUCCAAAGAGAGUCAGCAAAGGUUUUAGAUUUAAGUCUUUAAUCCAUUGUACAUUAAUUUUUGUUUACAGUAUUAAGUGAGAAUCCAACUUCAUUGUUUUUCUAAAU
rnacentral:lncRNA from 1 species